UCCAGAGGUCUCAAGCGUUGUUCGGAUUCAUUGGGCGUAAAGGGUGCGUAGGCGGCGCGGUAAGUCGGGUGUGAAAUCUCGGAGCUUAACUCCGAAACUGCAUUCGAUACUGCCGUGCUUGAGGACUGGAGAGGAGACUGGAAUUUACGGUGUAGCGGUGAAAUGCGUAGAUAUCGUAAGGAAGACCAGUGGCGAAGGCGGGUCUCUGGACAGUUCCUGACGCUGAGGCACGAAGGCCAGGGGAGCAAACGGG
rnacentral:rRNA from 1 species